AACACAAGCAUGAGCAAUCGCCCGCCCUUCCUUCGUCUAGGUGGGGAUAGCACUGUAGAAUCCCCCCUCGCCUCCCUCCCACUCUCCGCAACGCAGCUGCGGGGGCGGCCGGUGCCUGCCGUUUGCUGGAUCCGUCCAAGUCCGGCCCCUGCAGUGAGGAAGGGGGAGGAGGCUUCUGGAGUCUCCCCGCGCCCCACACUACUACUUGCUAUGACGUCACUGGCAAGAGGCAGGAGGAGAAAGCUGGUUUCUCCCGGCUGUGGAACCUGCCCGGAAUUCUAAUCGGUCUUCUUACAACAAGGGCCUGUUUCUCCCUCGCCCUGCUGAGCAGAGUCACUGAAGAACGAUGUGGCUGUGGUAAGCCCACUCAAAGAGGGGCAGCCGUUGUUGGAAUACCAUUACCAUGACUUGUGCUGUCUUGCCAGCUUGAAACACAAUCUUAUCUUCCAACACUGUCCCGGGUCACCACCUAGAAUUAAUGCCAGGCAAGUGGCUAGAAUGUUCUACCAAGAGAGGAAAUGGAGGAUUGCUUCCUGCAUCAAGCACGAAGAGCCAAGCUGUGUACCAUGUCACAUUUUGAGAGGUAGAUGCUUUUGGCCCAAGCCAAGGAUUGUAAAGCAGAUACGUUGAAAGACUGGAGUUCUUCAGGGCCAACACGGUGAUGGAUGGUGAACAAAAUGCUCUGUUUUACUGAGUGCCUGGGCUGUUUCACCUAUGGGCUCAUCAGAGACUUGACCCCAAAGGACCUAACUGAAGCACUGUAUGCUGAAAUUAUAGAGGCAAUGUUGAAUCACGAUGAACCUAAACCCUCUGUGAUUGUACAAUGUUUGAAACUGAAAUCCAGUACCAAACCUCAAAACAAGUCUAUAGCUAUAUUUAUAGCAACACUUAAGCAUCUUGAAUCCAGUUGUUCAUUUUGUACCAUGCUAGGCGGCAUGCUGCAAGACCAGCUGGUGUGGGGCAUUGGGCACUUAACUGUUCAAUUCUGUCUUUUAGCCCUGCUAGCUUUGACAUUAAAAUGGCUUUGGAGGGUGCUUCUGCAAUGGAGACUGCAGUCCAAAGUCUGACCAGGAACCAAGCCAAAUCUGUCCUCAGAAUGGAGGCUUUACCAGAAAACCCAAAUCCAAGAAGGAAGGGAACAUUGCAGUCAGUCAUUGCAAUAUCUGCAUAGAAGCCUUGUGCUGUAGAAACAAUAAUCACCCACAGACCUGCCAAUUUAUCAUAGCUGAAUGCCAAUACUGCAAAAAGAAAGGCCAUUUAGUCAAGGUCUGCCUCAGUAAAGACAAGAGGGAUGUCAAGUGACAGAAGAGUACCUAUUCCUUGCUUGGCAUUUAGAAGGCUCCCCAACCACAAGUAUCCACUGUUCAUCACUAGAAGGCCACAGUCAUAUCCAAUAAUAGUUGCUGUUAUGAGAGUAUUGUUCAAUUAGAAGUAGACACAGGAGCAUUUGCCACCAUCAUAAACCAUGGAAUAAUUCCACCUGAGGAUGAUGCAGUUGGAGCCUAUGUCAGCAUUCCUUGGAACUUACACAGGAGAGCAGAUCUCAGCUUUGGACUCAGUGAGGUCAUUCACACAAAAACUGUGUUCUACCCGGAUUUGGGCUCCCAAUUUUCAGUU